UUUCAAUGAUGACUUGCUUUUGGUCCGUGUUUCUGAUUUGCCACUGAUUGUAUUCUCAAAAGCUCUGAGAUG